UGGCAACCCUGUUGGUUUUCCUCUUAAUCAUACGACUAAGUCUCAAUUUGCAUUCACUAUUCAACCGCUGACACUGACAGGUAAUGGUGGAACUCCUUACAAGUUACAAUGUUCAUGGUAGAUGAAGACUAGUAAGCGAAAAGUUUCAUCCGGUAUGUAGAUCAUGAGAUGUACCACACUGUGUUCUGGAAGUCCUGAGAAGUGCCCUCUUUGCUAGUACGCAUUGUGUCCUGCAAACAAAGACAGGUGCUGAAAGGUGGUUACAAGCUGCAUCACGUGUCUUCCGCGGUGUUUUACUGGAUCGCCCAACUUGGUGUUUGCGUAUAUGCCGGUCGGAGGCCUUCGUGAUUUGGUGUUGACUGGUUCGUAGUUUGACUACUUGGCGUGUCUUUGUAAAGUGGUCGAUCCCCUCGGUUAGAUACAUAUGGUCGCUGUGAUUGGAGUUCACUAAUCCAUUUAUGUUCUUAAGGAUGGACUGGUAUCAUUCUGCUGUCCGAUGUUCUCUCGCGAUACGUAAAUCGAUAUAUCUACCAUGCCUGAUGUAUGAGCGGUAUUGCGUUUCGUGGAAGUCAAUGAUGUGGAAGGCGUUUUCUUCUGUUGGCCUUAUUUGAAUUUAUCAUUCCCUGCACUUCUGUCAAACAUUAGUUGCUGAUGAAUACCGACCGUUGGUAGCUGCUUGGUACUGGCGAUCAACUUUCGCAGUUGUAAUUUACUUCACAUCUAUCAUAUUUUCAUUUACUCAAUGAUGCUAAUCUUUGAUCCGUUUAGUCCAAAUUUUCAUGAGGCUGUGUCCAUUUUUAAAUGUUCUUUUUUGUAACAUGUUGGUUUAGUUGCGUUGAAAUUUAAACGAAAGUCAAUAUAUGACAUGUUAUAUAAAAUUAUUUUUUAUAUGAAGUGCUUUAUAAUGUGAAAAUUCUAAUAUUUUUCUGUUAGUAUGUAUAAAUGUUUAAUCUAGAAUUAUUGUGUAAUAUCCGAAAAUUCUUUUAAGCAACAACGAAUUAAACAAAUCACAGCACGAA